AUUGAACGCUGGCGGCAGGCCUAACACAUGCAAGUCGAACGAGUGGCGGACGGGUGAGUAAUGUCUGGGAAACUGCCUGAUGGAGGGGGAUAACUACUGGAAACGGUAGCUAAUACCGCAUACCAUCAGAUGUGCCCAGAUGGGAUUAGCUAGUUGGUGGGGUAACGGCUCACCAAGGCGACGAUCCCUAGCUGGUCUGAGGGGAUUGCCAGCCACACCGGAACUGGGGCACGGUGCAGGCCUCUUAGGGGGGCAGCAGGGGGGAAUAUUGCACAAUGGGCGCAAGCCUGAUGCAGCCAUGCCGCGUGUAUGAAGAAGGCCUUCGGGUUGUAAAGUACUUUCAGCGGGGAGGCGUUACCCGCAGAAGAAGCACCGGCUAACUCCGUGCCAGCCGCCGCGGUAAUUC
rnacentral:rRNA from 1 species